rnacentral:rRNA from 1 species
UACGAAGGGGGCUAGCGUUGCUCGGAAUUACUGGGCGUAAAGCGCACGUAGGCGGCUUUCUAAGUCGGGGGUGAAAUCCUGGAGCUCAACUCCAGAACUGCCUUCGAUACUGGAGAGCUCGAGUCCGGGAGAGGUGAGUGGAACUGCGAGUGUAGAGGUGAAAUUCGUAGAAUAUUCGCAAGAACACCAGUGGCGAAGGCAGGCCUCAGCUGGC